GAAGGAAGGCUUGGCGGCAGCCUACACAUGCAGUCGAGCGGUAGAGAGAAGCUUGCUUCUCUUGAGAGCGGCGGACGGGUGAGUAAUGCCUAGGAAUCUGCCUGGUAGUGGGGGAUAACGUUCGGAAACGAACGCUAAUACCGCAUACGUCCUACGGGAGAAAGCAGGGGACCUUCGGGCCUUGCGCUAUCAGAUGAGCCUAGGUCGGAUUAGCUAGUUGGUGAGGUAAUGGCUCACCAAGGCGACGAUCCGUAACUGGUCUGAGAGGAUGAUCAGUCACACUGGAACUGAGACACGGUCCAGACUCCUACGGGAGGCAGCAGUGGGGAAUAUUGGACAAUGGGCGAAAGCCUGAUCCAGCCAUGCCGCGUGUGUGAAGAAGGUCUUCGGAUUGUAAAGCACUUUAAGUUGGGAGGAAGGGCAUUAACCUAAUACGUUAGUGUUUUGACGUUACCGACAGAAUAAGCACCGGCUAACUCUGUGCCAGCAGCCGCGGUAAUACAGAGGGUGCAAGCGUUAAUCGGAAUUACUGGGCGUAAAGCGCGCGUAGGUGGUUUGUUAAGUUGGAUGUGAAAUCCCCGGGCUCAACCUGGGAACUGCAUUCAAAACUGACUGACUAGAGUAUGGUAGAGGGUGGUGGAAUUUCCUGUGUAGCGGUGAAAUGCGUAGAUAUAGGAAGGAACACCAGUGGCGAAGGCGACCACCUGGACUAAUACUGACACUGAGGUGCGAAAGCGUGGGGGAGCAAACAGGAUUAGAUACCCUGGUAGUCCACGCCGUAACGAUGUCAACUAGCCGUUGGAACCUUGAGCUUUUAGUGGCGCAGCUAACGCAUUAAGUUGACCGCCUGGGGAGUACGGCCGCAGGUU
rnacentral:rRNA from 1 species